rnacentral:rRNA from 1 species
UGACCUCAAAUCAGGUAGGACUACCCGCUGAACUUAAGCAUAUCAAUAAGCGGAGGAAAAGAAACUAACCAGGAUUCCCCUAGUAACUGCGAGUGAACCGGGAAAAGCUCAAAUUUGAAAUCUGGCAGUCCUUGUGGCUGUCCGAGUUGUAAUCUAGAGAAGCGUUAUCCGCGCUGGACCGUGUACAAGUCUUCUGGAACGAAGCAUCAUAGAGGGUGAGAAUCCCGUCUUUGACACGGACUGCCAGGGCUUUGUGAUGCGCUUUCGAUGAGUCGAGUUGUUUGGGAAUGCAGCUCUAAAUGGGUGGUAAAUUCCAUCUAAAGCUAAAUAUAGGCGAGAGACCGAUAGCGAACAAGUACCGUGAGGGAAAGAUGAAAAGAACUUUGGAAAGAGAGUUAAACAGUACGUGAAAUUGUUGAAAGGGAAACGCUUGAAGUCAGUCGCGUUGGCCAGGGAUCAACCUUGCAUUCAUUUGUGGGGUGCACUUCCUGGUUUGACGGGUCAGCAUCAAUUUUGACCGUUGGAUAAAGGUCAGGGGAAUGUGGCAUCUUCGGAUGUGUUAUAGACUCUGAUUGCAUACAACGGUUGGGAUUGAGGAACUCAGCACGCCGCAAGGCCGGGGAGCAAUCCCACGUACGUGCUUAGGA